rnacentral:rRNA from 1 species
CCUACGGGGGGCAGCAGUGGGGAAUAUUGGACAAUGGGGGCAACCCUGAUCCAGCCAUGCCGCGUGUGUGAAGAAGGCCCUCGGGUUGUAAAGCACUUUCAGUGAGGAAGAACGCCUGGUGGUUAAUACCCAUCAGGAAAGACAUCACUCACAGAAGAAGCACCGGCUAACUCCGUGCCAGCAGCCGCGGUAAUACGGAGGGUGCGAGCGUUAAUCGGAAUUACUGGGCGUAAAGCGCGCGUAGGUGGCUUGAUAAGCCGGUUGUGAAAGCCCCGGGCUCAACCUGGGAACGGCAUCCGGAACUGUCAAGCUAGAGUGCAGGAGAGGAAGGUAGAAUUCCCGGUGUAGCGGUGAAAUGCGUAGAGAUCGGGAGGAAUACCAGUGGCGAACGCGGCCUUCUGGACUGACACUGACACUGAGGUGCGAAAGCGUGGGUAGCAAACAGGAUUAGAUACCCUAGUAGUC